CAAAUAACUAAAUUUAAAUCAAAGGGAGAAGAGCUUGGAUGUUAAACAAGAGCUUAUUCAUUAUAUUACCGACUACUGCUAAAAAAAGCAAAUAUAGGGUCCUGUUUUUGCACUUCUGUUUUGUGUUCCUCCUUAAAGUGACUUUAUUUUGUUG